rnacentral:rRNA from 1 species
UACGUAGGGGGCUAGCGUUGUCCGGAUUUAUUGGGCGUAAAGAGCGUGUAGGCGGCCAAGUAGGUCUGGUGUGAAAACUCGAGGCUUAACCUCGAGAUGUCAUCGGAAACCAUUUGGCUAGAGUCCGGAAGAGGAAAGUGGAAUUCCUGGUGUAGCGGUGAAAUGCGCAGAUAUCAGGAAGAACACCAAUGGCGGAAGCAGCUUUCUGGGACGGUACUGACGCUGAGACGCGAAAGCGUGGGGAGCGAACAGG